AUUGAACGCUGGCGGCAGGCCUAACACAUGCAAGUCGAACGGUAACAGGAAACAGCUUGCUGUUUCGCUGACGAGUGGCGGACGGGUGAGUAAUGUCUGGGAAACUGCCUGAUGGAGGGGGAUAACUACUGGAAACGGUAGCUAAUACCGCAUAACGUCGCAAGACCAAAGAGGGGGACCCUCGGGCCUCUUGCCAUCGGAUGUGCCCAGAUGGGAUUAGCUUGUUGGUGGGGUAACGGCUCACCAAGGCGACGAUCCCCAGCUGGUCUGAGAGGAUGACCAGCCACACUGGAACUGAGACACGGUCCAGACUCCUACGGGAGGCAGCAGUGGGGAAUAUUGCACAAUGGGCGCAAGCCUGAUGCAGCCAUGCCGCGUGUAUGAAGAAGGCCUUCGGGUUGUAAAGUACUUUCAGCGGGGAGGAAGGGAGUAAAGUUAAUACCUUUGCUCAUUGACGUUACCCGCAGAAGAAGCGCCGGCUAACUCCGUG
rnacentral:rRNA from 1 species